rnacentral:lncRNA from 1 species
AGAAGGUUAUGAAAUGAAAGAGAUUGACCCCACUCCCCAUUACUGUCUGUAUAGGUGCUUACACUUCUGAGACAUACAAAUUGAUAUGGAAUAAUUUGUGAAAAUGGAAUUGCCUUAAAGAAUUUGAAGUAAGAGCACAAUUCUGGGAGUGGAGUUCUUAGAUGAUUCACAACAUUCCUCUUAGAAUUAAUUUAAGUAUUUUGUUUCACUAGGGUGCAAGUCUAUGAAGUUGUUUAUGCCACCAUUUCAGAAGUCAAAGCACCACUAUUCAUUUUACAACUUCUUUCUGCAAAGCACUGUACCACCUUCUGAAUGUAAUACGUAGUUGAAUAAAAAAAUUAUUCCCGUA